rnacentral:rRNA from 1 species
UGGCUUAGAAGCAGCCAUCCUUUAAAGAGUGCGUAAUAGCUCACUAGUCGAGUGAUUCUGCGCCGAAAAUGUAUCGGGGCUAAGCAUAAUACCGAAGCUGCGGGAUUAGACAAAGAGUCUAAUCGGUAGGGGAGCGUACUAAACGCGAAGAAGGUUGACCGGAAGGGCAGCUGGAGAGUUUAGCAGUGAGAAUGCCGGUGUGAGUAGCGAUAAGAUGGGUGAGAAUCCCAUCCGUCGGAAGCCUAAGGGUUCCAGGGGUAAGGCUCGUCCGCCCUGGGUAAGUCGGGACCUAAGGUGAGGCCGAAAGGCGUAGCCGAUGGAUAUCAGGUUGAUAAUCCUGGACCACCGUAGAGCUGAAGGAGUGACGGAGGAGGGAAGUUAGGAUGGACUGGUGGAAUAGUCUAAUGAAGCACAAAGAGGGAUACGUAGGAAAAGCCGCGUAUUGAAACCUUGAAGUGUAAACCGCAAGGCCUAAUGGACCACACUUCCAAGAAAAGCUUCUAGGAGUACUUUAUGGUGCCCGUACCGUAAACGGACACACGUAGGCGAGGAGAGAAUCCAAAGACGCGCGAGAUAAUUCUUGUUAAGGAACUCUGCAAAAUGACCCUGUAACUUCGGGAUAAAGGGGACUCUAGAGAUAGAGGCGCAGAAAAUAGGCCCAAGCGACUGUUUAACAAAAACAUAGGUUUCUGCUAAAGCGAAAGCUGAUGUAUAGGAGCUGACGCCUGCCCAGUGCUGGAAGGUUAAGAGGAGAUGUAAGUCGCAAGGCAAAGCAUUGAAUUGAAGCCCCAGUAAACGGCGGCCGUAACUAUAACGGUCCUAAGGUAGCGAAAUUCCUUGUCAGGUAAGUUCUGACCCGCACGAAAGGCGUAACGAUUUGGGCGCUGUCUCAACAAGAAACUCGGUGAAAUCAUAGUACCUGUGAAGAUGCAGGUUACCCGCGAUCAGACGGAAAGACCCCAUGGAGCUUCACUGCAGCUUAAUAUUGAUAUUGGGUGUGUGAUGUACAGGAUAGGUGGGAGACGAAGAAGCGAGUACGCUAGUAUUCGUGGAGUCAACGUUGGGAUACCACCCUUCAUACAUUUAGUAUCUAACUAGUAUCCAUAAUCUGGGUAUAGAACAGUGUUAGGUGGGCAGUUUGACUGGGGCGGUCGCCUCCCAAAGAGUAACGGAGGCGCCCAAAGGUUCCCUCAGAAUGGUUGGAAAUCAUUCAAAGAGUGCAAAGGCAGAAGGGAGCUUGACUGCGAGACGGACAGGUCGAGCAGGAACGAAAGUUGGGCUUAGUGAACCGGCUGUGCUGAAUGGAAAGGCAGUCGAUCAACGGACAAAAGCUACCCUGGGGAUAACAGGCUGAUCUCCCCCAAGAGUUCACAUCGACGGGGAGGUUUGGCACCUCGAUGUCGGCUCGUCGCAUCCUGGGGCUG